GAUGAAGAACGUAGCGAAAUGCGAUAAGUAGUGUGAAUUGCAGACUUUAGUGAAUCAUCGAAUCUUUGAACGCACAUUGCGCCCCUUGGUAUUCCAUUGGGCAUGCCUGUUCGAGCGUCAUUUACCCCCUCAAGCUAUGCUUGGUGUUGGGCGUCUGUCCGCGCUUUUUGGCGCGGACUCGCCCCAAAUUCAUUGGCAGCGGCUCCGCCGGCUCCUCGCGCAGCACAUUGCGUUCGUGGAGGCUCUAGGCGGGCUCGCGUCCAUCAAAGCAUCUUACCCAUUUUGACCUCGAAUCAGGUAGGGAUACCCGCUGAACUUAAGCAUAUCAAUAAGCGGGGA
rnacentral:misc_RNA from 1 species